rnacentral:rRNA from 1 species
AGAGUUUGAUCAUGGCUCAGAUUGAACGCUGGCGGAAUGCUUUACACAUGCAAGUCGAGCGGUAGUCCUUCGGGAUGAGAGCGGCGAACGGGUGAGUAAUGCAUCGGAAUGUGUCCUGUAGUGGGGAACAACCUAGCGAAAGUUAGGCUAAUACCGCAUACGCCCUGAGGGGGAAAGCGGGGGACCUGUGAGGGCCUCGCGCUAUUGGAGCAGCCGAUGUCAGAUUAGCUAGUUGGUGAGGUAAAGGCUCACCAAGGCGACGAUCUGUAGCGGGUCUGAGAGGAUGAUCCGCCACACUGGGACUGAGACACGGCCCAGACUCCUACGGGAGGCAGCAGUGGGGAAUUUUGGACAAUGGGCGAAAGCCUGAUCCAGCCAUUCCGCGUGAGUGAAGAAGGCCUUCGGGUUGUAAAGCUCUUUCGGCAGGGAAGAAAUCAUAUCCCCUAAUACGGGGUGUGGAUGACGGUACCUGAAGAAGAAGCACCGGCUAACUACGUGCCAGCAGCCGCGGUAAUACGUAGGGUGCGAGCGUUAAUCGGAAUUACUGGGCGUAAAGCGUGCGCAGGCGGUUUUGUAAGACAGCUGUGAAAUCCCCGGGCUCAACCUGGGAACUGCGGUUGUGACUGCAAGGCUAGAGUACGGGAGAGGGGGGUGGAAUUCCACGUGUAGCAGUGAAAUGCGUAGAUAUGUGGAGGAACACCGAUGGCGAAGGCAGCCCCCUGGGUCGAUACUGACGCUUCAUGCACGAAAG